rnacentral:tRNA from 1 species
CAGUGAAUAUUUUAAAAAUAAAUAUUAAUUUUGGAGAUUAAAGAUAAAGGUAUUCUUUUUUACUGA